UUCAGCGAUGUCCUCUCAAUUACUACUUUAAAAUGUCUCUAAUGUUUUUAGUUUGAGUGUUUUUGAAGGUAGACUUGCGCAUCAAUAAUUUCAGUUAAUACAGGAGCCCAAAAUCCAAGAUAUGUGAGAAAAUUAAAAGACUGAAUAGCAACUAAUAAUCCACCUGCUUCAAAUCUAGUCGAUGAAUUUUCAUCUCUGCUAGUUAAUGACUCAAGAGUUUCUAUAUUUUUAGAAAAUGUAUCCCUAACCAUCUUGACGGCUUCUCCUCUGGCGCUCCAGCGGGUCUCAACUAAACGUUUCCGGUUAUUUUGAUGAGGAUAUCCCAGCGGUGUGUUGAAGUUGAGAAAAACGCGUGUAAACGGUCCAGUGUACCAAAAAAUGUUACCGAAUCGACUUCAGCUUCAGCAGCUCGAAUUCCUGCUAAAUUAAGAGAAUGGUUUGAGCAGGCAAUGAAUAGUGCUUUGGGAUUGACUUCUAGAAUAAGUUUUUUGACAUUGUAGUUUUGACCUUUCAUGACCGCAGAAUUAUCUUAGCCUUGAUCCCUGCAGUCCAUUAUGUCUAAGCCAUCCGAACGCAGUUUUUCUUGAAUCAUCUCAGCGAUUCCAGCAGCAUGCUUGUCCUUCUCCAGGUUUUCGUCUCUUGUAUAAUCAAAUCUUGGGCCUUGUUGUCAAUAUGUUCCCUACUCUCAGGCGAACUUCAAGUUCCCUCCAAGCAAGCUAUGACUGAAUGUGAGCUCUGCUGGUCUCAUGUUUUUCUAUUUUUAGUUAGUUUAAAAAAAAACAACUCGUAGAAAACAAAGGUUAGCUUAUUUAAAAAUAUUGACAAUACAAUAGAAUUAUUUCCAAAAUUAAACUAUAAAGAAUCAUAAAGAAAUGAAUAAACUAAGACGAUUGUUUAGAGCUAGAGUUUAGAAAUAUAUUUGUAAACUCUAUAUCUAGAUUGAACCAGUGGACUAAACAAUGAAGUAAAAAAGGUUGGUCUAUCUUCUUCUUCUUCUUUAUAUUACAGAGCAUUAAUCAGUGUAGUAACAACAUGUACCAUGUGUCCGAAAUAAAUGUAGUAAAUUAGAUUCAAACUGUUCUAAAGCUUACAUUGUAUUGAAGAAAUAGUCAAGGAGAUGAAACAAAAUAGCGACAUGACUAGUUUAAAAAUCAUUAGUUCAUGUUUAAAAUACAGUAGUUUAUGUUUGUUCGUGUCCAUACAAUUAGUCGUUUUUACUGAAACGCUCAGGCAAAUAGGAAAAUAAUACACACUGGAGGAAUUUUGGGGCCCCUCACCACUUGGUGCCCUGUGCGGCACGCACCACCCGCACAUUGGUAGCUACGCCACUGCAUACACACAUACACACACACCUUUUUGUUUGCUACCCACGCUGACAGCAAGGAAAGUACCUAAACUAAAAAUAGGUCAUACCGACACCAGAAGUAGUUGCACUGAAAUCGAGAGCACUUUCAUUAACUUAAAAUUUUUAUUUUUUAAACAUGGAUAUACAACAAGGUAUAUAUAACAGCUGUUACAGCGAGACCUACAAAAAAUUGUAGCCAAUAUGACAGCCACCUGGAGAUUGUACAGGGAUUGUGUGGACACCAAGGUGAGGAUAUAAAUGUUGUUGAACAACCAUCUGAAGCCGAGCAGGAAACUGGAACUUCUAACUCGGACGAAGAGAAUAUCACGAAGAUUGUCGCCAAACUAGACUUCUAUAUGAAAACGUUACAGAAAUCACUAAAUAAUUCGAUCCAAAAGUUGAAAGGUUUGAAAUCUAAAGGAAAGAACAUCAAAGUAAAAAACAACUGUUCAAGGUUUAAAAGUGACACUAACCAGAAAAGAUUGUGUGUCUUGUUCAGACUUGUGUCGUACACAGUAGCUUUGAAGAAAAGCGCAAAUGCAACUAAAAACUACAAUGUAACAAAAGACUUAAAUACUCUAUCGGUUAUAAUGUGCAAAGUCCACCAGCUAGAUCGGGCUGCAUUGGCUAAGAUAGAUAAAUGUGAAUUCAUCAAUGAACUACCCUUAACAAACAAUAAUAAAGUUAAUUUGUACAUGGUUCUAGAAAAUUUGUACAAAUAUUUGCCGAUUGCGAGAAAGGACUUGGAAAAUUACAUCAAGAAACAGCCGCAAAUGAAACACAAAAAACAAUCAACAAAAAAACAUCCUACUGCAAAAAAAAACGAUGGAAAAAUAAAAAAUAAGAAAAAAUCCAUUAAAAAAACAAACAAACAAAAAGCCAUUAAAGAAUAAACAGUAAAAAUAGCGCGAAAAACCUGGCAGCAAAACAAAUGGACUAUUUGGAGAAAGUUUGGUUGAAGUCUAAUGUGCCUUGACUAUAUGUUAAAUAAUUUGUUCAAAGUCUUCCUAGUGCAAUCAAGUAUUACAAAUCAUUAUGUAAGCCCUGUCUCAAUCCCGAACUGAAACUAAAGACUGAAGAAUGCACAUAUGAGGUAUAAGUACCAAAGAAGUAACACACCAUUUCACACCAACACACCAAGGCAUACAUUAACUACACAUAUGUAUACAACAUAAAACACACACACACACACACACACACAAGACCACACAUGUAGAAAUAUGCCAUAUUUAUUUUUUUGUUUAAAUUAUUAUUUCAUUACAAACCUUUCAAACGAUGCUUUUCUUUAAAAAAUAUAUGUAAAUAGUAUCUGUACUACUAGAUCUGAUUUAAAUAUGAAGUCUUUUUAGUGCCUUCCAAUUGAAAACUGCCAUUUUUUUUUCUAGCAUUGGUUGUUUGACCAAGAAUCUCAGGAGAAUGAAAGAUCAAAGUUUAUCAUGUUAUUUAGUAAACAUAUAAUCAUAUAGUGUAACAUCCCUCUCUCUCACACACACACACACUAAAAAUACAUUAUUUUAAAAUGAUUUCCAUACAACAAACGUAUACCACGAUUAUAAUAGAAACUGGCAGAUAGUAUUCAUUUUAUUGCAUUUUUUAACCACAAAUGUCAAAGAAUGUUUUACUUUACUUAAAAUAAGCUUAAAAUAUUUUUUUUUCAUGUAUACUUUUUUUUUCCCCAAAUUCGUGUAUUUCUAUAACCAAUCAGGAUCAUUUGUGAUUUAUUGUGUUUUAGUCCUUUGUGUUUUGAAUGUAUAAUUUAUAGUACACUUGUUUCAUUAUUUUAAUUAUUUAUGAACUGUAAUUAUUAAGGGAUUUUAAUUAUACAACUGUAUUUAUUUAUGAAUUUCUAUUACUACUGAAUUUGAACUAUUUAUGAAAUAUAAUUAUUAAUGAAUUUAAAUUAUUAAAAAAAUGUAAUUAUUAAUAAAUUUUAAUUGAUUAUGAACUUGAAUUAUUUAUGAACUUUAUUUAUUUAUGACUUGAUGUUUUUUUCUUCAGAAAUUCAUUUUUUAAAACUGAUGAUUUUGUUAUAUAUGAUAUUGUGCCAUUCCUUGAUAUAGAUUUUGCUGUAGUUUAUUCAACAUUCAAAUUACUAAUUUUUUUUUAAAUACUGCAGCAUCACUGCCCCUGGAUGUUUUACCAAAAAGCAUUGUUUGCCUUACUGAUGUUAAAUAUACAGUGCAUAUUUUUUAUUUCUGAAUAUUUCAUGUACAGUUUUUAAACUUGCCAUUCAAUGAUGUAUAUAUAUGUAUAUAUUAUACAGUUUAUUUCUAGUAUUUACAUACCUAUUGUUUGUGAAAUGUAUUAUCGCUUCAAUUCGCAUUCCGAAAAAAUGUAUUCCAAUUUGUUUUAUAUUGUAAUUUACAAUGGCAUAUCAGUAUACUACAAAAGUCUAAGUCAGAUGGCGCUAGGCCCUCAUUUGGGUAACUAAAAUCUAGAGACAGAUAUAUUUGAAUGGGCUUUUAACCUAGAAACUUAUAAACAAAUGUUGGAACAGUGUGUUCUUUAUAGACAUUAGUGUGGACAGUGUUUAACAAGUGUUCCUAAGAGUAAAAACAGUAUAAAACAUAGCUCGAUGAUGAAAGACCAAAUUAUUUGUCAGUACAAAACAUCUCAUUGCGUCGCUCCGAUAGUCGUGUUUGCUUGUCACUUUAUUUGUAAUACCUUCUAGUCCCUAAGAACAUAUUUAUUAAUUACUGAUACAGUUGUUCAUUUUAUAACACUUGUUGUUAAAAUUAUAUGUCAUUUUAGUCUCAGUGAUAUUUCAAAAUGUUGAGAAUGUUUUUUUAAAUUCAUGAUAUGGUGAUGUCUUUAAGCUUUAUGAAUUCCAUUUUUUUUCCAACGGGUGCUUCAUUUAUUGCUCUUUGAUGCAAAUUUUGAUAAAAUAAAAACUUGUUGAAAAUAUUUUGAUGU